CAUUGAAAGUCACUUUACUGAUGUUACAGUAUGUCAGUAACAUUGAAAACCACAGGCAUUUGUAUUAAAUACUCUCAUGGAAGUGGAUACCGUGAUGCUUGUUAUUAAAAGUGACCAGGAAUUUAGAACCCCAAAUUACAAUGAUUUGAUUUUAUAAAAAGCGACAUUUUUGGUUAGCUACAUGAAAGCCAGAUUCAUUCACUUCAACAGCCCAAUGCCUGUCAUGUUUUAUGUCAAAAAUAUCACACUCAAAGCUAGAAAGUUGUAAAUUGCAAUGCUUCAUUUUGGUAUUUGUCAAAAUCUUAUGUUUCUACUGUAUCAGGUAUGAUUUUUUAAGGAUUUUUAACGAGCAAAGACAACAAUAUGAUGUAGGUUGGUUGUUUUUGCCAAUACGAGCCAGCCCCAGUGGUGAAACAAGAUUCUCAUCACCUCUCUCAGCGUUUUACCAAUCAAUCAGGGCUAGUACGAGUGAAAAAAUAGCUUUUUCUUUUCUUUUUACAGCAAUGCCCAAGUUAAACAUCAGCACAAAAUGAAGCUGGCAGAGGCAAUGGGUAUAUACUGCCCUGAAAGCUUUGCUGAAAGAACUGCUCAUACAGUGUUUUCUCCAGCAGAUUAAAAAUUCUGUAAUGCUUUGCUACUCUGAAAAAAAUAUUCUGCAUUUAUGCAACAAUAAAAAUAUGUACUGUAUUCUAUAUAAAACACUACCUAUUUUCAUAUAUAUAUUUAUCCUUAAGGAAAGAAAAAUCAGGUUAUAUAUUCACAGUUUGCGUAUGUUCUGGACUGUAUUUCCAAGCAUAAAAUACAUGGAAUCUCUACACAGGCAGUGAGCAGGAGUCCUUGUACCGAUAAUCAAAAGCAAUCAGCAUCUGCUGUUCUACAGAGCCUUACGACAUCGCAUGAUUAGCUGCUCGCACCACUACAUGUACAAGGUCAGUCAGACCUACACACAGAAUUUCUAAUGUAGUUGUAAAAAUAGACUCUCCAUGCUAAAGUUAGAAUAUAUAAGGUCUUAAGGCCUCAUGUUAAGAUUGGUUUUAACCAAAACUUCAUUUUUUUUAUUCAGAGGAAUACAGAAACAAAAAAAACCCCAAAAACCAAAAAAACCAAAAAAACAAAGGGCAAAAGCUUGUUGCUUUGACAUUUUUAUGCUCUAGUAAUUAAAAAUAGUAUAAGACAGACUCCUAUGCUUCUCCCUUAGAGAAUGUGUUUCUUUUUAACUGCUCUGUGCUUCUUUUCCCCAAUGUUCCUUACCUCACUUUGAGUUACAUUGCAGUAAUGGCCUAAGUAGCAGUUCUUGAACAGUUUAAAGCUGGCUUAGCUGAAGUGAUCUUGAAACAGAUGUAGAUGGGAUUUGAGAGAACUAAACCUGCCACACCUGGCUAGGUGAGCCAAUUCUAAAGUUUCUCCAGUGCGAGCAAAGGACCACAUUUCUGUGUUCUGCACUUAUUUUUACUGCUUGUUUUGGUUGAGAUAACAUAUGAAUGUUAUCUGUAGAAGUACUUCUUCAAAUAAAUAGUUGCAGAAAACUUGUGGAAUGACAAGAUACCACAUGCUGGGUGUGUGAGGUACUGUUAAGAAAGCUGUAGUUGCCUUCAGCAUCCAUACUUCAGGCACCAGAAAUAUUUUGCAUAAGCUGACUUGGAAAAUACUCAGGUCAAAGGAGUUUUUUAGCAUAGGUGAUUGACAGAAACUAUUAGUUCCUCUCCUGUUUCUGAUGAAACUACACUUAAAAGAGUCCUAUCUGUAUUGCACUACAUCUACACAAUCAGUUUCACCAUUUCCUUGUUUCCUGCUCUACUAGGAUAACAGGCACAUGCACACAGGAAUGUUCCCUCACCAGGCAGUUACAGGAUGACAAGCUGUACACAUGUGCAGUUUAUUCAUAUUGGUCUUCAGGAAAUCUGAUUAAAGUCGAAUCCCAUAUUGCUGAUAAAUGUCAUUAUGGUUUGGAAGCCAUGCAAAUAGUGGGUCAUCAGCUCAGCAGUCUGAUGAAUAAUCCAUUCUGGGCAAAAAAAUGGCUUCAGAGGAGACCAGAAUUCUCAAACUCUUAAAAAAUUGGGUAAAUAACCUCACAUUGUGCCCAAACAGUCUGCUAGUGAUGCAUAUACUCAAAUAACUUAAAAGAAAUAGAUGAUCUUUAGACUUGAAGCAAGAGAAACAGGACACAGCACAACUUUUAGGUUCACAGACUGGGUGUUUAAAGCAGCUUAGCCUUCACCGGUGCUAGAUGGUGAGAAAGGCACAGGAUGGCUGAGCAACAAGAUGGUUUUACCCCUUCUCAUGGUUUAACCCCAGAUGGCAACUAAGCACCACCACACAUCAUUCACUCCCCCUUCUCUGCCAGCAGGAUGGGGGAGAGAAUUGGAAGGGUAAAAGUGAGAAAACUCGUGGGUUGAGAGAAGAAGAGUUUAAUAAUUGAAAUAAAAUAAUGAUAAUAGCAAUAAUAAUAUAUUGUAAUGAAAAGGGAAAUAACAAAGAGAGAUAAAUAAAAAGAAAGACAAGUGAUGCAAAUGAAAAUUGCUCACCACCAAACGACUGAAGCCCAGCCACUUAGCCAGCAGCAGCCUCCCCCUGCCAACCUUCCUUCUUUAUUGCUGAGCAUGAUAGUAUGAGAUACCCCUUGGGUCAGUUGGGGUCAGCUGUCCCAGCUGUGUUCCCUCCCAACCUCUUGUGCACCCCCCGCCUACUUGCUGUUGGGGUGGGGUGAGAAGCGGAAAAGACCUUGACUCAGUAAGAUACCUGUGUUAUCAACAUUGUUUUCAGCACAAAUCCAAAAACUAGCCCCAUACCAGCUACUGUAAAGAAAAAUUAACUCUACCUCAGCCAAUACCAGCAUACCAGUGCAAACUGCACGAGACAUGAGGCUCCACCACCUCCACUGCAGCAAGAGCAAAAGAUGUAUUAACAGCACUGGAACAACCUUAUUCAGGACAUUGUGGGGAAAGGUGAUGACUAAUUUAGCAGCUUUUUCAUCUUAGCCAACUAACACAAGAGGCUAUUAGUGGUUGUAAUUGUCAUUCGUGGAAAUGCUUUUCAGUAGUAGUGGAAAGGAAGAGAACAGGAGCUUUACGCUGGAGCGUGGUGAUUUUGCUUACCACAGCUAGGUAUGGGAUUCAAUGACAAAGCAAGCCCUAAUUGCUAACUUGCUAUCCUGGAAGAUUAUGGAGUCUCAUCAUUUUUCAGAUUACAUCCUCUCCUAUUUAUUAAUGAAUUCAUAAACAAAAUGACUAAAACUUUGAAUUUGUAGUAUACGCAUGCCUAUAAUAGUGUACAUACCAUUUCUUAGCUCUGGUCUGGAAAGUUGUUGUCACAUUGGUGUUGACAAGACCACUCGGUUCAUUUAAAACCAGCAACAGGAAUUCAGGUUAGACAACUUCAGUACACUAGCUACUGACACACUUCCUUUCUGAUUUUAAUUCAGGCUAUAGCUCAAAGGCCCAUUUGUUCAUUAUCACACUCAAAAUUACCUAGUGAGUUCAUCAGCUUAGCAGGUUCAAUAUCUCAUAAAUCAGGAACUCUUUAAAGCAUUUGGAAGUAGCUAUCUUCAAAGUCAAGUCACACUUACCAGGUAACUGGCAAGCAGUGACUUAAGUCCACAACUUAAGCAAAGACAGGCUGUAUAAAUUUAACAACCUCCUUAAAACUACUUAUUUAAAUGUGACAAAACUAUGUGUAAAUUAUCAAUCACAACCAUUCCUGGUAUAUUGCCUGAGUAUAUUCACCAAAAGUCUAUAGUAUAGAUUACUGAAGUUCUUGUUUCAACAAAUACAGAAUUAGCAAGUAAAUUUUUACUUGUUAAUCUGUGGCAUGAUUGUGCAGCAUUAUUAUUUGGAUACAAUCUCUAUUUUCCAGUCUCUAUCACUUAGUCAUAUUAAUUUUAUUUUAAAUUAUACAAGAUUCUUCUCCCACGUUGAAAUACAUAACACUAACUUAAGUACAGCUCGUCCUGCAGGUCCUAUGCUCAUAUGGACAAUUAUUUCCAUUUGAGAAGAUCUGGUAAUGGUCCCACUUCAAUAGGCAUCUACAGCAUAGAUAGCAAUAACUAGUUCAUUUAUUAAAAUCAAAAUAAAAACAAAGUAAAAGCAUGAGUCUGAAUGAGUGAAAGUGACUGAGCUAUCUUAUUGACAAUACAAGUACUCUGAUAUUUUAGACUGGAUGAGGUAUUAUGCGACAAUUUCUAUUGCUAUUGCCAGUGUAACUAACUACAGUGGAUAAAAAUACUUGCAAUCUUCAAGCUUAUUAAUCUGGCAGCUUUCCAACACACUAACUUUUAGAAGUAGAAAACCACAGAAUGUAAGCCAAACACUUCUCUCUUCAACCUCCACUCUGUGAGCUUCGGAGGCCCACACAGCCCUGCCAGUUCAGGUUUUGUGCAACGACAACGUCUCCAGGUUACCAACCUGAUGCAAAAUUUCCUGCAGAAGAAUUCUGCAAGCACCCAAGUCCUGUGAUGUUCUCACUCUAGACCAUCAAAGUGAAAGUCUGUAUUUAUUUAACUUAAACUCAGUGCUCAUAACUAGACUUCCAGUCACUACAUAUCUCCAAGUGUUAAACUGGCUGUUAAAAGUUACACAACACACAUAACUGGAUCAUCAUAUGCUACAAAUGAAUUAUACCAAAACAAGAGAGAAGCUAAACUACAUACUACAUUGCAAGUACAGUCAGGAGAGCCAUUUGUUUGCAAACUGAGAAGCUAUGAACAUUACACAAAGAGCCAGUAUGUUAUAUCCAGUUCUGUCUGCCAAAUCUUGCUGCUUCUUGAUAAGGCAAAAUGGAAAGGGAAGAGUAAACAGUGGUAAACAUAAAGUAUGCACAGGAAUCUAACACGAUCAUUCAAAAUUACAUGCCAGUUUGUAUUCAAACAAAAUACCAUAAAAGGCACAUGAUGAAGAGUUACUAAAGACGAGAUACCAACAUAGGAGAGAAAACAGCUUCCAGGCGACAGAGUAAUAGAACGGCUGUUGGCAUAGCAUAAUGUCCUACUAUGGGUGAACUCCUUGAGGGUCCUGCUCAAAAAGUCCAGAGAAAUCAGUAAAAGACAUACUGAUUUCAAGUGAUUGCGGCUCAGACCCUAAUUUCAUGAGCUACGGGCUACCAACUAUCUUUAACCCAGUUACCUACACUCAAAGUAAAUCUUUGCGAAAAAUAUUCUUCAGUGCUGAUGGAUAUUUACUCUCCACAAAAGUGCAGACUCUUUUCCUAAAGCAAUUACAACUGAUUGGCUCCUUCCAGGUGGUCUGUCUGCAUCCACUUGCGCUCACUCAUCCUUGUCUUUCUCCAAAAUACUUACCAGAACCUGUCAACUGUGAAGGAAAAUCAUUUGAAUGCCAAGGCAAAUAUUUUGUCAUAAUCCAAUGUACAGCCUAAUCAUAAAAUAUAGUGCUUCUAAAAAUCUUACAUACUUUACAGUUGCUGACAUCUUUAAACAUUUCUUAAUUUAAUCUUACAUAUAUAUGACUUUAUUGAGAGACUUAAAAGUUAAAAAAAUAUAUUAAAAGGCUGCAAGUGUUGGGUUCACUUAUUAAAGGAAACACAUGAAAGAGGUAGAAGAUUCAGAAACACCCUCGAUGUUCCCAUUAUAGUAACACCUAAUUGAUCAUACGGCU
rnacentral:lncRNA from 1 species